CUGUAACUCAGAAUAAUGGCGUAGGAGCAGGAAUCACGGUGCAAGGUCUAUGAUGCAAAAGACUGUAAUUUCCAAGUUCAGAAACCAUGGUUACCUUGGAGGGUUUGAAGAAAGCAUGCAUCAAAAAUAUGAAGAAAGCUGCAAAUGUGUAUGAAUUUUGCAAAUCUGAACCUCUCAAAACCAUGCAUAGAUUAAGAAUCCAAGGGAUAAAGAUGGGAGAAUUGAGAAGUCCCCAGGCCUUCUAGAUGAUUCCUUUUGAGCACAGAAAGCUAUUCUCAUCCUUGGUGCCCCACAAGGAAUCACCUAAUAGAGAUAUGACUCCUGUAAGCAAGAUGACCCAAGGUCUAAGAAGAGGAGAAGGGAACUGAUGUGCUGCUUAUUCUGCUGGGUAUGGUAAAGCAAGAGAGCUUAGCUUGUGAUUAUACUACUUCAACAUAGAUGCGAUUGCUGGUCCUUGGUCUUAGGAACACUUGUCUCCUCAAAGCCCUGCUUAAUGUGACACUCAGCAUAGGUGGACCGAAUGUCAUGCCUUUAUGAUGUGGUUAAUGAGACAUGUCAUGAUGUGAGACAUGUCACACUACAAUAGAUGUGUGCCCCAAGUGGCUGUCAGCCAGGGUGGGCCCUGAAGGAAUUCCUGGAGGCACUCAUCACUUAGUAAAGAGAAGGCAGAAUGUGACGGGGAAUCUGUGUGGUGAUGUAGCAAAGGCAGGAGUUCGGGGACAGAAUGGUCUGGUUUGAAUUCAGCGUCACCACUUGUCAAAUGCACACUGUUGGCCAGCUUCUUAGUUAUUGGAGCCCCAGGUCCUUCGUCUAUGGAAUGAGACUGAGAGUCCCUGUUUUGAGUUUUGUCACAACAGUGUAGAGCACUUACCUUAACGUCUAAUAUGCAGAAGUGCUCCAUCUCUGUUUUCUCCCUCUUUUCAUAGAGCACACAUUCUGGUAAGUAUUGUCCAAUAACAGAUAAGUUUUUCUCUGAUUGAAAGGGCAUCAAGAAGAUUUAUAUCACAGCCUCUGCAAGGGGGUGGCCAGCGGGAUCUACUGAGGAACUGGGGUGGCAGAAGGAGAAAGUAGCAGGACUGAAAGAAGCUGGGUUCAGCGUGAGGGGCACGAAGGCAAAGCUCACUUCCUUUAAAGGGUUUUUCUCUGGGGUAAGUCCUGAGUUCUCCCGACAUGUCUGCAAGCUCUGCCUGUUUCCAACCCUCAGCUUUCCCAACUGGCCCGGAAGGAGGGAAGUUGAAUUCUGUCUAUUCUCUCCCCCUGCCCAACUUUCCAUCCAUCUUAUUUACAGUUAUUCCUGCCAUAACCAGCACCAAAGAGUUGGACACAGAGUGAAAUCAGAGUUGGUUACACUCAGAAGAGAGAGCAUGGUUCAAGCUGAUGUAGAAUCAGAGUGGUGAUCAAAGGCGCAAAUAGCUACAAUCAAUACAAGCGAGUGCCAUGAAAAUCCCCAAUGGAUCCAAGGUGGAAAAUCAUUUCUGAAGGAUCUGGAGGCAACCAUGUCUGCUCAAUGAAAUAAUGUGGAGACUGCAUUUCUCAAGAAUGGAAAAAUGGACAAAGGUAUUUCUUGUUUUCUAUAGAAACAUGUCUAGUGGUCUGACAUUGUAACAGUUAGCCAACCUGAUAUGUAUGUAGUAGUAGUUAAUAUCAGCUUCAAACUCAGCUCUAUAAAUGUUUCAUGGCUCAUUGUCCUCCAAGAGUAAAACUAUAUUUUCUCACAUUUUUAGCUGGGACUGAGAAUGAUUGGUAGAUCAUGUUUAUGAAAAAUUCCUUUUGAUUGCUUUGGGAAAAUUAUGCAAAUAUAGAAUGCAAUAAUUGGAUUUAUACUACCUAGAGAGAGCUAACUGAAAAAAACAUUAAAUGAUUAUGGGCCUAAGUAGAUGAUUUAUGAGUAAGGACUACAAAUAGGAAAAGUUCUAACAGCAGAAAAAUUCCUAGACAAGUUGAGAUGGGAGAAAAAUGAUGUGGGCUGACAAAAAAGCUUCCAGGUAAGAUUAACAGGCUGAAAAUGAAAAGAAAACAAUUUUGUCCCUUAUGACAAGUAUGGAGGCAUUCAGA
rnacentral:lncRNA from 1 species